UUCCAGAUUGCUUUCAGCUGGAGGACACAGCCAUGAGGUCUGUUUCUAGUGUUGUCCUUCAGCAGGCAGCACCAAUUGUCAAAUCAGUCUCACAAACGGCCCACCAUAUAUAAAAAUAAGCAAUGCAUCAAUAGGGCCGAAGCCAAGCAGCGGUUAAAAUAAGGACCAGAUCGGUACCGCUAAACUUACAACGCAAGGGGACGCCUAUGAGCCGCCGUCGCGGUGCGGUCCCGACUCGGUAGAGAAGGGUUCGCAAAACUCCGGGAAUGAAUGAAUCCCAUAGCAAACUUCAAAGCGUCAUUUAAGUCUAUCAUUCAGAUCUGGAGUCCAUGUGUCCACCUGUCAAAGCUCCGGGCCCGCCCUAACUUGGCCCGGCUGCGAUAACGAAGCAACGAGCGGCAGGUGCAGGGCACAGCUGAACCUCGUCCGGAGCUCAGCGCCCGGCCCGCCCCAUACGCCUAUUAAACUCCUCCGGGGGCUGCCAGGAGCCACGAGUGAGCUCAGGUCACGGAGAGGCGUGAUGACAGAUCGAGGAGGAGACCGAGCGAGGGCUGCAGCGGAGACUCUUCCCAUCCCAAAGCGGUGAGGCUGUGGGAAUGGUGAGCAUUUCGGAAUAAGUUCUGUCCCUUUGGAGCUCGUGUAGGGUUCCUGCUCAGCAUCUCUGUUUGGGGUUGGCUCAGUGCUGCUGUUUGAGGCCAGGCGUGACCCCGGGGUGGCCUCAGCCCCCCAAAUAAGGUUUGCAGGUGCUUCAGCCCCUCUGGCUGCCAGCUAUGGGAGCAAGCAGCAGGAUGGGGCUGUGUGUUCCCUUCCUCCUUAUGGGUGCCUUCAGGAGCAUGGUCUCAUUCCCAUCAUGGAGACAGGAUGGGACAGCUUGCAGGACUGGGAUGCUGUUAGGGAUGGCUGUGUUGAUUCUUUUUCAGUGUGAAACUCCAGCAAGGUGAUGGAGUCGCUCUUCAGGUAAGAGCUGGAACAGAAGAGCCCUGCCUUGGAAUGCACAGGUGACUGGCAGAGCCCUAGUGUGAGGCUCAAGGGGCAGGUAAAGGCAGGUAACAUUCUUGGGUGUUAGUUACAGCACAGGAUAGGAAGGGGAUUAGACCUUCUGUGCACAGCUGAGAGUGAUCUCACAGCUGUGGGCAUUAAUUCCCUGGGUAGAUAAAAGCACCCUGCCAGCUGAUAGGGAAGCAACAGUGCCAGCUUUGAUUAUUCCAGAAGGUUCUUGCAGUGUGCUAAAAGUAAGAAUCUGGAUAGGGGUGAUGGAGGAGCUCAUUCUCCCUAUGAAGGGAGGGCUGGAGAUAGGAAGAGUGGGGUGGCUGUGAGACUGAAUUCAGGUGAUCCUGGAUCUUGUGUGGAAGAAAUGGAGCUGUAAGUAGGACUGAGUUACCAGGCUUCUAGGGAGCCUGCUCUGUCCUGUAAAAGGACAUACUGGGAGGUGUCUGGGUUAGAGCAUUGGAAGGGGUUCUGCAAGUGGUUGCUGAUAAUUGAGCCAUUUCUUCUUUUGCUCCAGGAGGAGAGCAUCUCUAAGAGGAAGAAAUCAAGGGGGAAAACAUGACUGAAGAGCUGUGUGGCACAGCAAGGGGUUUGCAGAUGUAACUGCUGAGGCCAUUCCUUGAGAAUCCUGGAACACUUAAGGAAGGAUGCCUUGAUCACAGAGGAGGAGAGGUGCCUGAGGAUGGAAGAAUAGCCAGUGUCACAGCAGCCUUCAAGAAGGACAGGAGGGAUGGCCUGUGUAACCCUAGGUCAGUCUGUGUCACCUCUCCACCUGGGAAGGUGGUGGAAUAACUUGUAGAUGUUUUUUCUCAGCAACUUGAAGAGAUUCCUCUGGAGCAGCCAAGGUGGAAUCACAGAUGGGAAAUGAUGCUGGACUGACCUGGGAGCUGUUUGUUGCUGUGACUGUCUGGUCAGAGAAGAGCAGUGUGGCCUUUUUUGAUGUGGAUGGAGGGAGUCCACUCUCAGGAAGAGAGCUGAUGACAUGAAGCCAGGAGAUGUGGUUGACAGAGGAAGGCUGCGCUUCUAUUUGGCAGGACAGGGUGAAAUUCGAAGAGAGCAGGUAAAGAUAAGAGUUGUAUGCAGAGUCCAGCAGAUGGCAACAGAGCUGAGUGAGCUGGAGCAUCUUGUGAGGAAUGGAUGAGAGAAUUAUCUGCUUGGUGUAGAGAAGUGAAAGUGAGUGGAAUCUCUUGGCAAGUUUUUGAAUUGCGUGAGUCUAAUUGGUGAUGGUGUUUAUGGACUUGAAUGAUUUCAUGGUGAGUGGCGUGGGUUAGGUGGAGAGUUCAGGAAGUGUGCUUCUCUGUUAUUGGUCUAAUUGAGUCUGGAUGUGGUGUGCUGUGUGUUUCUGAUGUUGUUGGAGGCUGCAGAGAAGUGUUGAUUUUGUUGAGGACUGGCCUGGAGAUUGCAGUGGUUUCAUGAGGUGUAGGAUCAAGUAGUCCGGAAGCAGCAUGGAUUAGUAGGAAUCUGACUCCUGGUUCUGUGAGGCUCUGCCCAAACUUCCACUGCUGGCUGUGAGAAUGUGAACUUGGACUGAAGUGAUCAGUAUCUGUAAUGAUGAAGAAAUAAAUAAAUAAAAGCAUUCUUAGAUUUUUCUAAAUAAAAUAAAAUACUGUGACAUUAA